AUGAACUCGGUCGCCAACUUGAAUCGCCAAGAGCUAUUGAAACGAGCUAGAGAGUUGGAAGAUCUCUUGGUCGCAUCCAAGCCGAAAGCGAAGGAUGGAGCGACGCCAGUUCAAGCUUCGGUGACUCCAGUGAAAAAAGGCGCCUCUUUUCCUCGGAAUCAAUUCUCGUUGUAUCGCACCGAGCAGACGCCAUUUUCUGGAGUUCCAAAUCAGCAAAAUCUUUCGAACUCGAAUCGAUUUGGCGUACGAGCUCUGCCUAGCCACAAUAGGGUGUUCGUACGGAGGAAAAGCAAAGCGAAUCGAGUCGAAAGUGCGAGUGACAUCAGCAAUGAUCAACCACAGAAUGGAGGUCGAUCGGAGUCAGCUGUGUCGCCGGCUAUCGAUCCGGGGAACUUCAAGGGAGCCGAGGAAUCGUCUUCCCCGAUGCUCACGAAGGAUGCUUCUCUCGUCGCCUCACGAGACUCUCCGAACGAAGACCGCAACUCAUGGAUCAGGAACCAUGAGACUUUGCUCCUGACGAUUGGAGGCGAUGAUAGUUCGGAUGACGACGAUAUGAUUCGGAACCACCGAACAGCUCUCCAUAACAUACUUCAUCCGAUCAAGAAAAUUCCGAUACCCCACGGCCAUCAUCAACGAAAAUCCGUAGUGUUCCAAAGUGCUACGAAACUAGUCAAAAUCAAUCCCUCGUCGUGGCUCCCGAGUCGAGCGAAACCAAGGACGCACCCGAUUGAUUCGAGUCUGAAACUCAGCCAGGGCUCAUACUUCGAGCGUCGGGCACCAGGAAACGCCUCGGAAGUCAGUCAACCGAUCAUGCCCUCGAAUAUAUCGACGUCAUCGACCGGAUUGAAGAAUUCGGAAGCAGCCGUAGUGGACGACAGAGCUCUGUCAGGGUUGCCGGAGUCCGCAAAUUCAUCGGGAGUGAAGAAAAUUGCCUCAAUGGAUGGUAUAGGCCCGACCAGGAAGUCGGAACAGAAACGAAUGUCGCGAAUCGAAUAUGGAAUCUCGUCGUCCGAGUCGUGUUUCAAGAGGGUCCUGAAGCGCACACGUUUCAAGCUCCUCAAAGGAGUUUCAGUGACAAAGAAAGCAGCGAGUUCGCACAACAAGAUCGCCAAGAAAAGCGUAGCACUCAAGGCGAAGAAGAAGCAGCAUACACAGACACUCUUGAUGCUCCGUGGAGUUCCUUUUCAGAGUUCCAAAGAUGGCAAAGCUUUGAAACGGAUCAAUACGUCACUGACAGUUAAACUUGCCGCGGCCAAGAACUCAAUGAAGAGUCGUUUCCACAACACCGGGACCGUCAUCAACAGAGUCGCAAGCCAACUUGUCAACCGAAGUGUUUACAAACUAAACAAGAAAAAAAACGGGAAGGCUAUGCAGCGAGUCCUCGAAAUCUGUCUCAAACUUGGAGCAGAGAAAAGAUUGCAUCUUCUUUAUUCGUUUCGGCAAGUGCCAUAAAGGCGACAAUUGUAAAUUUCAACACGAUCUCAAAAAGGUAUCCAUCUGCACGAAAUUUUUGCGAGGGACGUGCAAGGCGGAGAAGUGCCCCUUCAGUCACGAAGUCGAGAAAGACAAAAUGCCGCUCUGUUCGUAUUUUCAACGAGGGCUGUGUAAAGCUUCGGACUGCCCGUAUCGUCACUCGUACUUCCGUAAAGACAUACCCCACUGCGAGAAUUUCCUGCGUGGCUUCUGCGAACUCGGUCAACAGUGCCCUAAGCAACACGUAUUGGUAUGCACAAGCGUCGGAUGCAGCAAAGAUCCAAGAGUUUGCCCUCUCCAUCACAAGAAGAAAACGAAAGAGAUUGCUUCGAAGAAGAAGAAACGAAGAAAGCUUAUUGUGAGGCAGAAAAACGCAUUGGAGAGGGACGGAGCUUGGCCAGAGUUCGUGACUUUGUCGGGCUCUGACGACGAGGUAGCUGACGUGCAGAUGGAAAUGCCCACCCGAACUUCCGAAAACAUCAAACGCUUUCUCGAGAGGCGGACGCGUCCCGUCUGGCCAGACCACAGCACCGGUUUAAGCUCUGCUCCGAUCGAUCUCCGGAACGUACUCAGAGUUAAUAACCCGCUGCGGCAAACGCUCCGGAGAGCUCGCUGGCUGAGGAAAGUUCGACCGAUAAGGCUGGUGGGGGAAUUCAUCCCACUUUAUCGCACACCGAAUACAGUCGUCGUCGACCAAUCUUUAGGCCGAAGCGGGAGCAGACGACGGCGAGGAGUUGUACCCGGAGCACCCUCGAAUCAUUAUUCCGUGGAGACUGACGAGAGCAGCGACGAAACUCUUUGUGCGAAGCGAGCCCGGAAAGAGCAAGUUUUCGAAACGGACAGUGACGGAGACUUUGACCCCGCGUAUCGGACGUAUGGGGAAGCUCUCAGGAAAACGGGGCGGCUUCAAGCAUCGUUGGAUUCAGCUGACUCGGUUUCGUCGUACACGUCGCCGGCAGACUCAUCGGACGAAUCUAUGAUCGGGAUGAAUACUCCCUCGAGGGAGCUCGACAGUCACGGUGGCACAGCAGCAUCGAGGCGGCUCGGGUUGAACGACGACGAUGAGUGGCUCCUCGAUUAUUUGUGUCAUCGGGAUCAAUCUGUUUCACCCUUGCCCGAACCUGAGCGGCUGGACUUUUUCGGCCCAGUUUACGCGCAUUGGGAAUUUCAAAUCGGUGACAGAAUCAGAGAAACGAUCCAAAAGCACAGGCGUAUGCCCAAAGCCAGCGACCCUACAAUGCUCCCGGAGCCUUGGGAUAAGCACGUUCCCCGGCGACAAGCGGAGUCUUUGGAUUUCAUACCAUUGCGAGAUCAUGAAGAAGGUGAGCUCCUGACAGAUUCCGAAGCGGAGGAAGUAUCGGGUGAUGAUCUCGCAGUCGUCGAUAUGGAGCUGGCCAGCGAUGAAGAGCUCAUCGCAGGCCGGAAAACGCCUCGCAGCUCCGACAAAGAAACGGCGGUCAGUCGGCCCCGAUCGCCCUGCGUAGGAGACGACAUCAGCGAUCUCGAGGAAGGAGAGGUCUUGUAAGAGAGCGAGUCAAGAUUAGGACCGAGAUCUCCGAAUCGUGGCGGCGCUGGGGAUUUUGUCGGCAUCUUCUCAUGCGGCUGGUAAGGAUUGGAAACGGGGUAUAGGGCUCCAGACUACCUUUUUGAAUUGUCGAUAAAU
rnacentral:sRNA from 1 species